CUGGAUGAUGUGCGUCCUUUAUGAAACGUAAUGCCAUGGUCAUUUGAUAUGAGAUGCUUGUGUAGCAGGCUGUGCCUCUACUGAGUGUUACGUGUUCCGAAGUCUAGACGUGAUGAAUGGGCGGGUCUACUACUACAGGGCAAGCGUGGGUCCUGUGUGGGUCAAAGGUGGUGGUUAUGACCUCUGGUCCAUCCUUUGGCUUACUCUACUGCUAAGAUAGCUGCACUUUGUGAGCCGAGACUGCAUGUUUCACCGGCAAAGACGAGAUUGGCCACCAGGCGAGUGUCCGCUCUCACAAGGGUCUGCUGUUUUAUCUUGUCCAUUUUGUCUUGUUUUUGUGACUUGUUUAAUCAAACUCUCCAUACUCUGGUCAUCCUAGCGUGGGCUGCUAGCUUUGGUUGCUGGGGCUUGGUUGUUUACCUCACGCUUGCUGCUUAUCUACAGCUUGCUUUGUCUACAGCUUGCUUUGUUACGAUGAUUAUUAUGUACUGCUGGUGAGUUUUGUAUCAUCUGUGUGUCGCUUUCUUUUCUUUUGUAUUACUCCAUAUUUUGUGUGUGUUUGUGGGUGUUUGUGGUUGUGUGUGCAUAUGGUCCUAUGUGCCUAACUUCUGCUACCCUGUAGUGGUGGAGGACGCCUGGGGUCUUAACCGAUGUGGUCCCUAUAGCAGGGCUCUGGGCCUCUCCUAGCAUUGUGCCACAAGCUAAGUACACUCUUCAUAUCAGAGCUAACUAAUAAUUUCUUAUCUAUUGGGUGGCAACUCCACCCUUAUAUGCAUGUAGCUGAUAUCUCUCUCUCCCUCCUCGACAGGAAUAGCUGGCCUACACUGGUGGUUCGCAGUCUCCGGGUGGUGGUCUUCCUCACUAGCCUCCCUACUUCCACAUGGUGUGUCUGACGUUGCAGUGUCGUCACCUGGUUGCAGUGGCCACAUCCUCGCCAUACCCCCGGCCUCCCUUCCACUUUAACGGGAGAGCUUGUCAUUGCUGUGGCUGCUGUGUUUUAUUGAAUUAAUUAUGCAUUUGUCCGUUUGCUACUAAAUAAACAUAUGUAUUGCAUCA